UUUUUUUUUUUUUUUUACAGCUGUACCUGUGGCAUAUGGAAGUUCCCAGGCUAGGGGUCAAACUGAAGCUGCAGCUGCAGGCCUAUGCCACAGCCACAUAACACUGGAUCUGAGCCCCAUCUGUGACCUAUACCACAGCUUGCAGUAACACUGGAUCCUUAACCCAAUGAGUGAGGCCAGGGAUUGAACCCACAUCCUCACAGACACUCUACUGGGGUUCUUAACCUGUUGAGCCAGAACAGGAACACCCAUACCCUGUCUCUUAACCUCUCAUAUUUUCCAUCUCUUUAUCCUCUAAACUGCAAACUGUGUUACUUCUUCAGAGUUAUCUUCCAGUUCAUUAAUUCUCUCUUCAGCUGUAUCUAUUCUGAUAUUCAACCCCUCCUUGAAUUUUUCAUUUAAAAAUUUACAGUUUCUACUUCUAGACACUAUAUUUGGCUUUUAAAAUAAAUUUGCCUGGUUGUUCUUGAUGACAUCGUUUCUGUUACUCAUAUUUUCUUUUUUGAUUUUGUUUUUUUUAGGGCCACACGCACGGCAUAUGGAGGUGCAGCCCUAAAAAGGAAAAAAAAAAAAAAAAUUCUAGGUCAUUAAAAUCUAAAUACCCAACGUAUCAUCAGUGGAGUUGAAUCUGGGGGUAAAGUUUUGUGAACAGCAGAUAAUUUACGUGGUCACAGGAUGUCUUCCCCACAGAUUGCUUUUUAGUUGCAAAAGGAUAACUAGCAACUAUCCAACAGAGGAACCAAACUACACCCUUGACUAGAUAAUCAAAAUUAAUAUCACUAAUGACAGACAGAAGGACACUGUGUGCAUCUGGAUGUGACACCAUGAAAAAGACAUUACUUCUGUAGUAUUCUAACCAGGCAUGUGUUCCCUGAAUCUAAUAACGAAACAUCAGACCCCAAGUGAAAAACAUUCUAUAAAAUAACUGGCCUAUGUUCUUUAAAAGUACCAAUGUUAUGCAAGACAGAAAUAUUGAGAAACUGUCCCAGAUUACAGGAGAUUAAAGAGCACGACAAAUUCAUGCAAUUUGUAAUCCUGGCCUGGAUCCUACACGUGAGGGUGAGGGUUAGGGGAUGCUAAAAAGGGCAUUCCUGGGACAACUGAGAAAACUGGAGAUACGGACUCUAGAUUAAACAAAACUGUCGCUUAUUAGAGUUAAACUUCUUCAAAUUGAUAAUUAUAUUGUAGUUAAAUAAAAGAAUAUCCUUGUUCUAAAGAAAUACACUUGAAGUAAAGGACAAGAUGUUACAAUGUAAUCUCAACGGACUCAGAAAAAGGACUUUUCUAUCCAUACACACAUACGGGGUGAGGGGGGAGCAAAUCUACCAUGGCAAAAUGCUAAAAUUGGAACCUCCCUACCAUGCCGGUAAAUUUUCUGUAGAUUUUGAAAUUAUUUCAAAAUACAAAGCAAAAAAAGGGAGUGGUCAAACUUCUUGAGCCAAUUGGGGGAAAUAAUAAACACACAUAGCCCUGCUCAGUGGGCUAAGGAGCUGGCGUUGCCAUGAGCUGCAGUGUAGGUCACAGACAUGGCUCAGAUCUGGUGUUGCUGUGGCACAGGCCUGCAGCUGCAGCUCUGAUUCAACCCCUAGCCCAGGAACUUCCAUAUGCUGCAGGUGUGGCCCUAAAAAACAAAAUACUAAUAAUAAUAAAACGAAGAAAUAAAGCAAAAUGGUCCCAUGUUAAGAAAAAAAAAAAAAAAACAAACAACAAAGGAGUUCCUGCUGUGGCUCAGUGGUAAGGAACCCACAGAGUAUCCAAGAGGAUGAGGGUUUGACCCCUGACCUCGCUCAGUGGAUUAAGGAUCCAGCAUUGCUGUGAGGUGUGGUGUAGGUCGCAGACAAGGCUUGGAUCCCGAGCUGCUGUGGCUGCAGUGUAGGCCGGCAGCUAGAGCUCUGAUGCGACCCCUAGCCUGGGAACCUCCAUAUGCCACAGGUGUGGCCAUAGCAAAAAAACAACAAACAAGUAAACAAACAAAACACAUAUAGCGUUUGUAGUAACAAACUAUACUGAACCGAAAACGACCGUUUUACCAAAUAUUUCUGCUGAGGAACAGGUGAAGCAAUAACAUAGAGUUCUGCUCCUGCUUAAGAUACAGAAAGAACAUCUCUCCCAUCCUAACAAGAAAAGGCGAGAUAAUCUAUAAAAUCAUAACAUUUCUUGAGCUUAUCAGAGAGCUGGAGUCACAAGGUAACCAAGUGAACAGAAUUCUAAAGAGUGACAAGUCCCUCCAUGGAGAGACAAGGCAGACGAACUGUGUGACCUUUCACAGAGCACAGGAGGAAGUGGUGGCUCUCAUAAAAUUAAGUAAGAAGAAAGCAGCUUAAAUUUUAACGAAUUCUUAUAAAGCCGAGUGUAGCGUGGCAUAGCAUAUCAAAUCCCUGGGAUCUCGACACCACUGCUGUCUGAAAUGGCUUGCAAGCUCGUUUCCGUUGGGCCUCUGCUGGAUGCUCAUGAGAAAGAGUGGGACUAGAGCAGGAGACUAGAGAACAGACAAAGGUAGAAGGUCCAGCCCUUCUGGUCACAUCAAAGUGUGAAGAGAGGAAGAAGCAAAUAGUGAUAACGUGUGUUAUUACUUCUCCUUCCUGCAAAAUUCUGAGGAAAGAGAUGAUGUAUCAGUCAGGGUCCAGUCAAGAGACAGAAACCACCUCAGUAAUUUGUGCAGGGAAAAUUUAAUAUAAAGCAUAGGAAACAUGAAAGACUCAGAAUUUAACUACCUCCCCCCCCCAAAAAAGUGUGUAAACCAAAAAGAUAUGAGACUUCGUUAAAUGGCUAAUUAAAACACUUCUCUUUACCUCUUCCCAUGACAAGAUGGCAAUUUAUGAGGAAGACAGACUGGUGAUUAAAAAAAAAAAAAAAAAAA
rnacentral:lncRNA from 1 species